AUUGAACGCUGGCGGCAGGCCUAACACAUGCAAGUCGAGCGGAUGAAGGGAGCUUGCUCCUGGAUUCAGCGGCGGACGGGUGAGUAAUGCCUAGGAAUCUGCCUGGUAGUGGGGGAUAACGUCCGGAAACGGGCGCUAAUACCGCAUACGUCCUGAGUGAGAAAGUGGGGGAUCUUCGGACCUCACGCUAUCAGAUGAGCCUAGGUCGGAUUAGCUAGUUGGUGGGGUAAAGGCCUACCAAGGCGACGAUCCGUAACUGGUCUGAGAGGAUGAUCAGUCACACUGGAACGGAGACACGGUCCAGACUCCUACGGGAGGCAGCAGUGGGGAAUAUUGGACAAUGGGCGAAAGCCUGAUCCAGCCAUGCCGGGUGUGUGAAGAAGGUCUUCGGAUUGUAAAGCACUUUAAGUUGGGAGGAAGGGCAGUAAGUUAAUACCUUGCUGUUUUGACGUUACCAACAGAAUAAGCACCGGCUAACUUCGUG
rnacentral:rRNA from 1 species